GUGUCUUCCUUUUGUAAUUUUCACAGCGUGUAGUACGUAAUUUAUUUACAAUUAACAGCAUCUUGUGAUGACUCGGACAACGUUAUUCCAUCUAGUUGAAAAAUAGAGUCAUGAGAAUAAUGACAAACGACAGGCGUAUCGUUUUCGUUAUUUAUGCGUGCAGCGAGGCUUAAUUCGAUUUCUCGGCCACCGACGGUCGGAGAUCAAAGUUCUGCCCGUUUCGGACCGUUCAAUCGGCGGCACAAAAUAUCAAGCCGUGGGAGCCGUAAUUGAAUCUGUAACAGCAACCGAAUCAGCACGACGGCCAAUCAUUGCAUUAUACGAGUCACUCGUCGAUCGACAUUCGUUAGUCAAUCGUUCGUAUAAUUGUUGGCUUACAGUUGCUCGGUUAAGCUGCUGCUUUGUAGUUGAAGUACCCAGAUAAACGCACGUACACCAACACCACGAAGCGGAAUGACACGUCGAGUGAAAGAAAUACGAUCGUUGCUCGUUAGAUAGAGCGCAACAAGACGGGAUUGUCCGACAAAAUACGUAGAGGGCUUCGUAAACGAGCGUGUCUGAAAACAGAUCCAGUAUGAAGAUAAACAUCGAAGCAAACUCACAAAUCAAUUUAAGAAUUAAAAUGAAACUUAUUCCGAAUUUACAUCUUCAUCUGAAAUGACAGCGCUAAAAUCCUCGCGUUAUCUCUGUUCUCCUCCAAGAAGCGACGGUGUACGCAAACAAGAACAGGAAUACCUAAGAGGAGACAUCGUUCCUGAAGAAUAUAAGAAACGAAGAGUGCAACACGACGACGGAUAAUGAUACAUAUGACGCGCCGACACGCAAAGAUUACGGAGAUUAGAGUCGUCCCACAGGUUGGGAGCGGCGGGAAUGUAAAGUUGUCGCUUUGUUACCUCGGUAAACAGUAGGAAAGCGGUGGAAAUUAGUCGUUCGGCUAGAGCCAGUGGCAGGAGUGGCACCGCGAUAAUUAGGUUUCACUUGGUUCGCUUUAAUAAUCCAGGCAACAUGCAAAGUGCAUUGCUGGGAUCCUUGCGUCCGUGAAAGCAUGGCCCACGCUUGUAUGAAAGUGUCUGGUGUGCGUGACCAACGUUAACGUUGCCGCGGCCUCUAGCCACGGUGGGUGACAAAUUUUGCAAGGACAGCCGGAAUUAUUAAUGCCUUUUCCGCGGAGAGAGGCCGAGACGAGGCGCGAAAUUAGCAAGCCCGAAAGCGGCUACAUCGUGCGCUACAAGCGAAUUCCAAUCGAGAUAAUGAAAAUUAACGACGUUAAAGCGACGUCACGCUCGUAAUUAAUUAUCGCGGCCCGUUUGCUGGUUGUCGAUCGGCCCUCUCUCGGCCCUCUCUCGGCCGCGCCGGACCCUUUCCGCAAGGGAAGGGCCAUAAUCGCGAUAUCAAUCCUUCAUUAAUUCGCUCGACGGGGAACGACUCGCGUCGAAACUCUUCCACACAAAGCCACGAUUAAUUCCUUAAGACGUUCUCUAUAUCUAUAUAUGCACGAACCCACCGGCUCUAUGAAUUAUACAUCAUGUUGCCGGCACCCUCGCCGCGAACUUUCUUGCGGCGGAUGAUCGUUCUUGCACUCACUAACAAAGAUAAGACAAAUAAACUCGCCUCUUAAUAAACGUCGCUUCUAAAACACUUAUUUUCUCUAUAGCUCUAUAUGCUAAUAUUUUUAUAAAAAAAAAAAAAAAAUAUUUGUGUUAUGCGUUGAAUUUGUCAAUACACAUAUCUACGUGCUCCAUCGUGCAUGAGUAUGUGGAACCUGGCGCAAAAGAGGGGAUCAUCUGUUAUUUGAGGUAAGAUCAGAGACAGAAGUUGGGCUUAAAAAGUUUCACAUUUAAAGUAUAUGUUGUACAUCUAAAAUAACUUGAAAAUAUUCCAAUAUUUAUGCACGAUGGUAAAUAAUUGUAUUCUGUUUAGUCUUUGUCAGUUAUCAAGACUCGUAUAUCAAACUGCGUUUGCACGAGUACGAGUAUGUAUAACAACCUUCUUAUCUCGUUACUCUUCGCCGAAUUUUCAUUCUCUCUCUCUCUCUCUCUCUCUCUCUCUCCUGCGAAUCAUGCUCCAUGCUUGAAUUCUACUCCUCGAUAACACAAAAUUGCAUCCUCUGCAACCCAUGCGUCACGUCAGAAGCCAGUUUCUAUUCAAAUGCAACGCACGACUCUAACGUGCGAAUAUUUGCAUGCCAAACCUCCGGAUAUAUUUCGUCCGAGAAUUCUACUUUUAAACAUUUAUUUCGAAUCUGUAAAAUUUCUAAUUCGUCUUCAUGUUCGUAGUCAGAGUUAUAUAUAUAUAUACGUUAAUUAGAUUAUUAUAUUUUCUAUACACUUUGCGGAGUUGUACAAAAUAAAAUAAAUAUUUCAGUUUAUUUUUACGCCUAGAUUUGACAUCCGUAAGGAUAAACAACUGUACAGAAUAAAGCUUUAAUCUAGUUAACGAGCGUAACGAAUGCCUUGGUUGAAAUUUCGAGUUAUGUAUCGUACAUCUGGUAUUCAAAAGUGCCGACUGUAGAAGAAACACGUGCGCAACACGUGUGCGAAAUAGCCUUCAUAAAAGAGAAAAUCAAGUUGAAAAAGACGACUCAAUCUGAAAGCUUUGUAAGUUUAGUGAUGAACAGAAUGGAACUGAUGGAAUGAAAAGAAAUUACACAACUAUCAGUUAAAUAUAUCACAAUUAACAUAUAAACAAAAAAGAAAUAUGCUUGUGUAAAUUUAUUUAAA